GUCUUCAUGGUGUAGUUGGUUAUCACGUGGGUCUCAUAUGAAUAGUAUGACUAGGAAGUAACAACUUCUUGGAUAUCCCAAGGCCGGGAGUUCGAACCUCCCUGAGGACA